rnacentral:lncRNA from 1 species
CGGUCCACGACUCUACCUCCGCUCUAACGGUGCUUCUAGCCUUCAACGUCUUCUACCUUUGAAUUUCAAAGGUGAGUUUGUUGUUAACCCUAUUUUCUGUUAACCCAAUUUGAAGUAGUUUUUUGCUUUUUGCUUUUUGAUUUUGAUUGUGAUUUUUAUUUUUGCUGUUAACGGUUUUCUAAUUUUGAUUUUGAGACACUGAAUCUUCGGGGGGGAUUUUGAUUGAGUUUACAUAUCGGGGGGGAUUUUGAUUGUGUUUAUUACAUAUUAUUCUUUGCAACAAAAAGAGUGAUUGAGCCCGACUAAAGCGAGUGAGUGAAAGGCGUGGCAAGAGAGCGAGUUCAACUCGUGAACGAUCAGCAAGUGAAGGAAGAAAAUCAUGAUUGUUCUGUUUUUUUUUUAGUUCUUUUGCGGAUUAAUGUGAUUUUCUUUUCUUGAAUGAUGAUCUUUCUUUUGUUGCAAAUUUGUUCUUUUAUUAAAACCGAAAAAGGAAGAAAAUCAAUAGAAUUGGAUUUAGGGUUUAUGGAAUCUCUAUACAUGUGUAAAAAGUGAAAACUUAUCAUCCAGAAGAUUGGGGUGAAUCCAAAAUUCAACUUUGUUUGAAAUAAGAAGAAACUGAAUGGUUAGUUUGUUAUUCAAAAAAAAAUAGUAUAUUUCAUUGUCAUUGAAUUAAGUUUUGGUUUGGAUAAAAAACAUAAUUAUUUGAAUCAAUUUUAAUUAAAAACAAUCUUUUUAUUAAAUCAAAUACCAAAUUAUUAUAUUAAACAAAAAUUGUUUUAGGUCAAAUUAUGAUUAUGACCUUCUUCUAUGUUGUUUAAAGCUUAAAAGAUUGGACUGAUGACAUGACAAAAAAUAAUAAUACAGUUUGAUUUUGUCAAGUAUGAGAAAAAACACCAGUUUCUCUUGACCUUGACUUCCAAGUUGAAUGUAAUAAAUGCUCCAAUAACAGAUUUAGACCCACACAACAUUUAUUUGUGUUUAUGUUUUAUAGAGCAUGUAAUUUGUAGGGUUGAGAAUUGAUUUAUGUUUUAUAGAGCAUGUAAUUUGUAGGGUUGAGAUCACAAGCUUAGUUUCUUCAUUUAAUCUCCUUUUUUUUUUUUGUGUGUGUUUGCUUUGUUUUACUACAGAAAUAAGCUAUUUAGUGAGGCAGAAAAAACAGCAGGCCCAGGCAGGUUACUAUCACUAUCUCACACCCUUUCCUUCGAAACAAUCAACCUUAGCGACUUUUCAUUUGAAUUUUGCGUGUUUUUUUAGUAUUACUUAAAGACAUGUGACAAGUUUGAUCUUGUAUCACAAGGCUAGCAUAGUUAAGGUUUCCA